CAAGUUUUGUAGAACUUUUCCAAUAGAUUGUCUAGAUAUUCAUUAUUCGAUAAAAAAUGGGACAGAUUUCAUAGAGCUUUUACAAUACUUAACCGACUAAAGUCUGUAAGCUCUCAUCCUAUUUCAAUACCUAAUGUUCGAUAUUGAAAACGCACAAGUAUCGAUAAUUUACUCACAUUGUCAAACCAAAUUAAAUAUACAGAAUUAAAUAAUAAAUACAUUGCAAUGCUUAGAGGAUUUUAUAUACAUACAUACACGAUAAUAUUACAAAUAAACCAUAGAAUGCUGUAAUCAGCUGCGGCAACAAAGGAAUAAAUUGAUCCUGUAGAAGCAUUUUGGUUACGGGUCGAUGUCUGCAAACGUUUUGUUGUCUGACACUUGUCUUCCGCAGUUGGCUUGUAUAUUUAACGGCGUCUUCCUUUUGUAAUAUUUCUGUUGUGAUUGAAAGUGAGAAAAUACAGAGCUGAAAAUGUCUCGGCAGAAAAGUCAAAGCGAUUGAAAAUGUCGUGCAACAUCAACAACAAUAAUGCCAAUAAAUUUCCUAUCAAAACGUGUAAAAAUAAUCUCACAAUAACAUCAGUGACCCAUCAGAACAAAUGUCAGCAACACGCCUUCGAACGGCUCAUUGUGCAGAGAUGCUUACAGUCGGCGCUUAGGAAAGAAGAAAUCUAUACGCUAAACAGGAUUUAUUUUGUAGCGAGAGAAUAAACUGACAAAGCAAUACAAUUCAGGAAAAAAAAAAUUAUUGCUGACAUGUCUAAUGGCGUUCGAAAAUGGAAAUGCAGACACAAGCUGACAAGAUCUGCCACAAUCUCUUAAAAAAUCAAACAAAUAAACACAAGUUUUAAAGUUAACCCAGGAAAUUAAAAAUGCAGCUUAGAGAAUAUUCUCAAAAGAAGAUGAUAUACUUAACUUCCUAAAUUAUUUAUAAAACUUUUGGAUAUGUAAAUGAAAUGAAAGUAAUUAAAAACUGAGGAAAAGUGAGCACAGAAGUAUUAUUUUCUCAUAAAAACCGUUGCAUUUGCAAUUUCGAC